UCCAACUGGAGUGGUUAUUUAUUAGAAAGUUUUCAUUACACUGAUCUAAACAAAAAUCUAAACAAGUAAAAACCAAAAGAAGUGUUUGUGAGCAGGAUGUUUAUUGUUAUAAUGCAGUGUUUAGAGGAACCAAACUGAGAUCUCCUAUCUUUCAGAAUUCAUCAAUUUAAAAGUGAAGGAAAGUGUAGCCAACACAGCUACCCUUCUAAACUGUUCGCUAUAUCAAAAUGCUAGGAUGUGUCAGGAGCUCAGAAUAUUUCAGCAAAGGAACAGAUGUCUACACAUGAAUAAGAACUUCUGAAGUUGUAUGUCUCAAAUUAAGUUAAAAGGAACACAUUCUAUUUGGGAUAAUUACUCACUUUGGAGAUGAUCAGCAAUUUGGUUCAAUGAGCACCUCUGAAAAUUACCCUAAAUGUCUGCAGAAGGCGUUUUCUUGCAAGUGCAAGAUACUAGAAGUCUUAGGAUCCCUGCAACAUAUCCACCAGGUAAAAGACGAUAUGUAUGAGCACACCUGGACCUCUGUGUCUACUGAUGGACAAACCAGCUGCUGCCUCCUCCUUCAGUGAUGAAGAUUUAUCACAGUAGCAUUCUUCCUAUUAUGUGUACUUCUUAUGGGAAAGCAGUUUACCUACUUCCUUCUAUAUUGUCUGUGGGAUGCCUGCUGUACACUGAUUUCAUGUCUAUGGACACGUGGAGACCAAGGUGUUUCUGCAUUACCUCUGGCCAUUAACUAAAGCAGUCUAGGUUAAUACCAUAUUUGUUGUUGAUGGUAAUGUUCCAAACAGAAUGAAACCAAAGAUAAAUUUGACAAUACUUCAUAGUGAAGGUUUCUUGAUUUCUGUCCAGUAAGACUUCC
rnacentral:lncRNA from 1 species